GUUAUGCAGUGUUGAGAUGGAGCAUGGACUGAUUGUCAGAAGAUUGAGGUUCAAGUUCUGCUACCGUUUUUCUGAAGCCAUGAGCCCUUGGUCCCUUCGGGCUGCCUGAGGCUCCCUGAUCUAUGAAAUGGGACCAAUGAUGAGCAUGAAAGCUCUUUGAGGACUCCACAGUGCUGAGCAGGGAAGGAGUUUCUGUGAAGUGCCACACACUACGCCAACAGUGCAAGGUAGAAAGAAAUGAUUAAGCCCGAUUAUCUCCAAGGCACCUGCCAGCGGGGACAUUCUAUGAAACAGUGGAAUCAGGAAAAAUGUGAAGCAUGUUAAGUGAAGGUUUGCAUACAGGAUGGAGCAAAGUUCACAGAACAAUCUGCAGCAGAGGUAAGCUGCAACCGCCAAGCCUCCGGGGAGUGUGUGAAGCCGUAAAUCUCACUGAUCCAGACUGGGAGCAAGAUGUUGUGUCUGAACACCCUCAGAACAGAGAACCAGAAUCUCCGAGUUCCUGCCACCACCCCCCACCCCCGCCCCCUGCUUUUACCUGUGUCACCCAAACUCUCCGGGGAUGGCAACACCUACCUCACAUAUUACUGUGAUGAUUAAAUGUGAAAACACAUAUGAAAGGUC